rnacentral:lncRNA from 1 species
AAUUACCAAUUCAGGGGCAGCAACCUAUCAACGGGUUGUCCGAUUCAUCUGAAAAUUUCAGGGCAGAUAGAUCUUGACCUGAUAAACAAUUUUACUACAUGUCAGAUUUGCUCUAAAUGCUUUGGUUUUUGAGUUAUAAGCCAAAAACUGCAUUUUACCCCUAUGUUCUAUUUUUAGCCAUGGCGGCCAUCUUGGUUGGUUGGGCGGGUCACCGGACACAAUUUUUAAACUAGAUACCCCAAUGAUGAUUGUGGCCAAGUUUGGUUUAAUUUGGUCCAGUAGUUUCAGAGGAGAAGAUUUUUGUAAAAGUUAACGACGGACGACGACGACGGACGACGACGACGGACGACGGACGCCAAGUGAUGAGAAAAGCUCACUUGGCCCUUCGGGCCAGGUGAGCUAAUAAAAACAAGA